AUUGAACGCUGGCGGAAUGCUUUACACAUGCAAGUCCGGGCGGCAGCGCGGGGGCAACCCUGGCGGCGAGCGGCGAACGGGUGAGUAACACAUCGGAACGUACCCUGUCGUGGGGGAUAACGAAUCGAAAGAUUCGCUAAUACCGCAUACGACCUGAGGGUGAAAGCGGGGGAUCGCAAGACCUCGCGUGAGAGGAGCGGCCGAUGGCGGAUUAGCUAGUUGGUGGGGUAAAGGCCCACCAAGGCGACGAUCCGUAGCGGGUCUGAGAGGACGGCCCGCCACACUGGGACUGAGACACGGCCCAGACUCCUACGGGAGGCAGCAGUGGGGAAUUUUGGACAAUGGGCGAAAGCCUGAUCCAGCCAUGCCGCGUGAGUGAAGAAGGCCUCGGUUGUAAGUACGUCUUCUAGGUGGAAGAAAGACGGAGUGGGUUAAGUACC
rnacentral:rRNA from 1 species